AGUGAACGCUGGCGGUAGGCCUAACACAUGCAAGUCGAACGGCAGCACAGUAAGAGCUUGCUCUUACGGGUGGCGAGUGGCGGACGGGUGAGGAAUACAUCGGAAUCUACUUUUUCGUGGGGGAUAACGUAGGGAAACUUACGCUAAUACCGCAUACGACCUACGGGUGAAAGCAGGGGAUCUUCGGACCUUGCGCGAUUGAAUGAGCCGAUGUCGGUUUAGCUUGUUGGCGGGGUACAGGCCCACCAGGGCGACGAUCCGUAGCUGGUGUGGGGGGAGGUACACCCACACUGGGACUGGAACACCGUCCAGAGUCCUACGGGAGGGAGCAGUGGGGAAUAUUGGACAAUGGGCGCAAGCCUGAUCCAGCCGUACCGCGUGGGUGAAGAAAGCCUUCGGGUUGGAAAGCCCUUUUGUUGGGAAAGAAAAGCAGCAGGUUAAUACCCCGCUGUUCUGACGGUACCCAAAGAAUAAGCACCGGCUAACUUCGUG
rnacentral:rRNA from 1 species